rnacentral:rRNA from 1 species
AUGAGCGCUCUUUUCUCUAUGUGUACUUGGAACGUCCGGGGGCUGGGCGAGUCACGUAAAUGUAUCAACGUCCGUGCUAACAUCGAGGCCAUGCAGCCUACCUUCCUCGCGAUCCAAGAAACAAAACUAGAACACCCGCCCUCCUCCAAAACUGACUCGUUCUUGCCUCCUUCUCUUCGUACGUUCCUCGCCAUCGAUUCCGCUGGUGCUUCCAGAGGAAUUUGUUCUGCCUGGAAUGCCAACUUCUUCUCGCUUGUCCACCAUCUCGCCACUUCGCAUGCCUUCUCGGUUGACCUCUCGGCUUGCCAUGACAACUCGUUGGUGAGGAUCACCAAUGUCUAUGCGCCAUGCGCCCGCGAUGCUAAGGAGGCGUUCCUCCUUGAGCUUGCCGGGCAUGCCCCUCCCAGCUCUAUCCCUUGGGUCAUUGUGGGGGAUUUCAACCUCAUCCGAUCACCGGAGGAUCGUAGUAAUGAUAGUUUUUCUUGGACCGAGGCCAUGUGGUUUAAUGACUUCAUUAAUGACCUCGCGCUCAUCGACCUCCCCCUUCAUGACCGCCAAUUUACAUGGUCUAACCGUCAAAACUCCCCCAUCCUUGCGCGCCUAGACCGAGUCCUUGUCAACGUCGCUUGGGACUCUCGGUUCCCCACCUCCACGCUUGCUUCUUUCACCCGUUCCACCUCCGAUCAU